CGGAGGUUCCCCUCUACUCCUACGGGAGGCAGCAGUAGGGAAUCUUCCGCAAUGGACGAAAGUCUGACGGAGCAACGCCGCGUGAGUGAUGAAGGUUUUCGGAUCGUAAAGCUCUGUUGUUAGGGAAGAACAAGUACCGUUCGAAUAGGGCGGUACCUUGACGGUACCUAACCAGAAAGCCACGGCUAACUACGUGCCAGCAGCCGCGGUAAUACGUAGGUGGCAAGCGUUGUCCGGAAUUAUUGGGCGUAAAGGGCUCGCAGGCGGUUUCUUAAGUCUGAUGUGAAAGCCCCCGGCUCAACCGGGGAGGGUCAUUGGAAACUGGGGAACUUGAGUGCAGAAGAGGAGAGUGGAAUUCCACGUGUAGCGGUGAAAUGCGUAGAGAUGUGGAGGAACCACCAGUGGCGAAGGCGACUCUCUGGUCUGUAACUGACGCUGAGGAGCGAAAGCGUGGGGAGCGAACAGGAUUAGAUACCCUGGUAGUCCACGCCGUAAACGAUGAGUGCUAAGUGUUAGGGGGUUUCCGCCCCUUAGUGCUGCAGCUAACGCAUUAAGCACUCCGCCUGGGGAGUACGGUCGCAAGACUGAAACUCAAAGGAAUUGACGGGGGCCCGCACAAGCGGUGGAGCAUGUGGUUUAAUUCGAAGCAACGCGAAGAACCUUACCAGGUCUUGACAUCCUCUGACAAUCCUAGAGAUAGGACUGCCCCCUUA
rnacentral:rRNA from 2 species